UCAGCCAAUGAGAAGCCGUUGCCACCCUGACCUGUUACGUUCCCCCAGUGGACUUUCAUUUAGAACAGCCCCUCCCUACUCCCCCUUUGGUCUAUGAAAA